UGAAAUUUUUGAAGUUUUUUUAUGUGUUUUGUGAACUUAAGGACUUCUUUUUAAGGUUAAUAAGCUGGCUAUUCAUCUCAUGUUCAUAUAUCAUGCAAAUGAUCAAUUAUCAAACAUGCCCUGGAACACAUUUGAUGGUAAUACACCUCGUGAAACAGCAUAUUUUGCAUGUGUUCCUUGGUUUGGAUUUCUGUCGAAACAAUUGAUGCCUUAUUUACGGAAAUACAGUUUAUUAUAGAUUCCUACUUGUAUCAAAUGAAAUUGUCGACAGCUGACUGGGGAUUCGUUUUUUGCAUAAAUUCUAGGAUUUGGAUGCUGUGGAGGCACUAAUUCAGGGUCUUGCUUUAUUUCAAGGAGGCAUUCUCAUGGUUAGCCACGAUGAGCACCUAAUAUCAGGUAGUGUAGAUGAGCUGUGGGCAGUAUCAGAAGGAAAGGUAACACCAUUUCACGGCACAUUCCAAGAUUAUAAGAAGAUACUGCAGUCGUAAUCGGAAAAGGUUGUCAGAUUCAAUCUUUUUCAAGCUGCGGACUACCCUUGAUUGCCAAAAAUUACAGGGAUGUCAGCACUUACAGAACACUGUAGAAACAAUUUUGAAGGUUGUCCCAGCCAUCAUAGGUGGUAACUUUCUGCUAAAAGGAUGAGAGAUGCUGUGUUCACUUGGCAAAUAUAUUUUGAUUCUACAAUAUGUUUAUUCUAUCU